rnacentral:rRNA from 1 species
GACGAACCGUGCGAACGUUGUUCGGAUUCACUGGGCUUAAAGGGCGCGUAGGCGGACUCGCAAGUCGGUUGUGAAAUCUCUGGGCUUAACCCAGAAAGGUCAACCGAUACUGCGGGGCUAGAGUGCAGAAGGGGCAACUGGAAUUCUCGGUGUAGCGGUGAAAUGCGUAGAUAUCGAGAGGAACACCUGCGGCGAAGGCGGGUUGCUGGGCUGACACUGACGCUGAAGCGCGAAAGCUAGGGGAGCGAACGGG